ensembl:lncRNA LOC102555109 uncharacterized LOC102555109
CUUCCCAGUCCCUUCUCUCCUAAUUCCCCCUCCUUCCCCCCACGUGCCCAUGGCUGGCCUCCUUUAUUUAUCCCCCUUUCUACUCUUCUUCUCUCAUUAAACCUUUCCACAUGGAACCAUGUUAGCUUGGUGUGCUCUGUCUGGGAAGCAGCCCAAGAUUUAAACCCUAACAUUGGUGGCCCAUACGGGGAGAUUGAUCUCCCGUGCCUAUAGGGCCUGGCGCCCCAUCACUAACGUGCGAAGGAUAGGCCUUUUCCACCUCGUGCUUCUGCUGCCUGUCACCACUCAAGCGGAGCUGUGGGGCCAAGGUGGGGAGGGAUGGAGACGCGCACGAGCGUGUGGCAAAAAGAAAUGCAGCCGUGUGCCGCUUCUGCGCGCACCACCGGAGACUGCCGCCUUGACCCACCCUUGCGUCCUGCCAUUACAUCCACCACUGCAUCAUCCAUUGCUGUGGCAAGCACCGCCCGAAUUGGAUCGCUGCAUCUUCUAGGCCUCUGCUACACCAUCUGACCACCACCAUCACCACCAUCACCACCACCACCUGCUGGCUGCUGUGAGGCUCAGGGCUUCCUCCACCAUCCCAAUGAGGUAACCUGUGUCCUGUCCUGGGUACUGGCUGCUCAGUCCAGCAAGCCUCCCCAUCACUGCGAUGCCCUGCUUGUAGCUGCCUGCCAAGGAGAGUGCCCUCUUCAAGCACAUGCUGGCCCAAGGGUAGUGCCCCUUCGGAACCGUGAAUAACUGGCUCCCCGCUGGCGGGGGCAAGUGGCACCCGAACAGGGACCCUGAAGUACAGCCAACUACCGGAUGAUGGAGACAGGAGAUCCACGGAGAGAUUGAGGACUCUUCAGGCUGCAUCGCUUGUGCAUCGCUGGAGAGGGAAGUAAGACCAGUCGAAUAAGUGUCAUCCCAUCGCCAUGGAGAAGGAUGCUACAGGAGUGUGCCAGCUGCCUGAGUGGCUAGUGAGACAUGCUGAUCCUGGGAGCAUGAAGAUUCAGCUCUCCUGGUUCGGGUCCCUGGAGUCAUUCCUGUGCACUUGGAGGAAGAUGGAGGAUACCCCCUCAUCUUUUGUCAUCACAGAGAUUUUGGCGUUGCUGCAGUCAUUGUGUCCCGUCCCACCGCCCUCUGUGCACUGCUGCUCCCUGGAGAAGACUGGACUCCAGCUGUUACCCCUGCCCCCCUCAGUCCCCUGGUGACUCUUGCUGCCUUAACUGGUAUUGUCAUUUUGCAGUCUGUAGCUUCACAGGAAUGCCAUCUGCAUGAAGCUGCUGUGGACUGGGGAACUCUGCCCUGGUUCUGCAGAUCUCAGACAUGGUUCCAUUGCCUGCUGGUUGUUCCAGAGAAGAAUAACUAAUCCUGAACUGUCAUUUUCGCUGCUAUUGUAGCAGCCAUUACUGCUGCAGCCAUUGUGUCUGCAGUGUCUGGAGUUACCCUCCCCCAAUCUAUUGUUAGGCAAUAGCAGAGUGGGUGAACUUUCUGGAGUAGUUGCUAACAAUUGGGAAUUCUAAAUUUUAUUACAGGAGUUGCUUGACUACGGCCGUUGGUGGUAUGGCCAUAGAAGCUGAGGAGAACCAGAUGAGGUGCCCACUACUUAUCGGGAGAGGCUCAACUUCCACAAUCUCUUAAAUUAAUGCCAUCUGGCCCCUGCUCUUUCGCCCCUGGGCUCAAAUAAGGGGAAUGAGAAGAUGAUCCAAUGUAGCUUUCCUCAGCGAUGGGCAACUUCCUCUGACCCUUGACCAAUCUAAGACAUGGUGCCUUGGGGGUGACAAGGUGAUCCUAUAACAGAUAAGGCUGGGGUUCGAGAGGUCGAUCCUAAGACAGAGGUGGCUACAGCCUGUUUAAACAUACAGGCCGGUCAAAUGCUCCUCUGCCCAGUUUCUUCCCGAAUAAACACACAGAACGGUGUGUUACAGCAUAAGUUCAUUCCUAGCCAUUGGGGUGCAGGAAGAUAACAUUCACAGGAUGCUUCAGCCUAAGCAAAAAUCAGUUAUCUCCUCCCAGUGAUAAGUUGUAGAUCAGUUGUCUACACCCGGUGUCUCCACCACCUGACCUCAUUGCCUGACCUCUUUGCCUCCAGCUAUCACUGCCUAUACCCUCAUCUCCCCCUCCUUCAUGUUUCACAAAGGUCACUCCCCCUACCUGAAAGCCUUAAAAGCUGUAACGUUCAUCCCAAUAAAUGAGACCUUGACAAUAGAAUCUUGCUUGGUCUCCUUCUUCUCUCGCCCCCCAUUAGGCCCAAGGGUAGUGCCCCUUCGGAACCCUGGAUCCCCGCUGGCAGGGACAUGUGUGUGUGU